CUCAGAGCAAAGGCAAUGCCCCAGGACCUGCAGCAUCCUUCCCAUGCAGCACUCAGAGCACAGUGGGCGGCUGGUCAGGUUCAGUCAGUGAGCUCGCCUUUGAAAAGUACCCCAGGACAGAGCCAGAAGCUCUGGCAGAAGCCCUCUCCAUGCCAUGUGCCCUACUCAGGGAGCUGCAGAAGGAGACAGAGGUACCAGAGGUGAUGCACUAUCCCAUGCAGGAUGCACUGCCCUGAGCCACCCCAGGAUUUGGCACGCUCCAGCUCUUCCCAACACAUAUCACUUCUUUCAAGCUGUCCAUUGUGGUGCAGGAAACAGUCCUUCAGAGAUGGCAGAAAUACGAG